UACGUAGGGUGCGAGCGUUAAUCGGAAUUACUGGGCGUAAAGCGUGCGCAGGCGGUCCGCAAAGUCUGAUGUGAAAGCCCCGGGCUCAACCUGGGAACUGCAUUGGAAACUAACGGGCUCGAGUGUGGCAGAGGGGGGUGGAAUUCCACGUGUAGCAGUGAAAUGCGUAGAGAUGUGGAGGAACACCGAUGGCGAAGGCAGCCCCCUGGGCUAACACUGACGCUCAGGCACGAAAGCGUGGGGAUCAAACAGG
rnacentral:rRNA from 1 species